UAUUAAAUCAGUCAGUCAUUAAGUCAUCAUAAAGGAGUUGUAUGGAUGGGUACAAUCGUUUGUCAAACGUGCAAUUCGACAAUUGGACAUUUUGAAGAUGAAAAAGUAACAACACUUUAUGGAAAAUGUGCAGAAUGCACACAUGACAAAAUAGAUGACAACCAAUAAGUCACGGUCAAAAGAUGGGGGAAGGGUUUCAAAAUAAAGAAAACGCAUGCGAACGGGAGAAGCAUGCGUUUUUUUU
rnacentral:sRNA from 2 species